GAUGUACGCUGGCGGCGUGCUUAACACAUGCAAGUCGAACGAUGAAGCCGGAGCUUGCUCUGGUGAAUUAGUGGCGAACGGGUGAGUAACACGUGAGUAACCUGCCCUUGACUCUGGGAUAACUGCGGGAAACUGUAGCUAAUACCGGAUACGACCCUCGGAGGCAUCUCCUGGGGGUGGAAAGAAUUUCGGUCAAGGAUGGACUCGCGGCCUAUCAGCUAGUUGGUGAGGUAAAGGCUCACCAAGGCGACGACGGGUAGCCGGCCUGAGAGGGUGACCGGCCACACUGGGACUGAGACACGGCCCAGACUCCUACGGGAGGCAGCAGUGGGGAAUAUUGCACAAUGGGCGCAAGCCUGAUGCAGCAACGCCGCGUGAGGGAUGACGGCCUUCGGGUUGUAAACCUCUUUUAGCAGGGAAGAAGCGAAAGUGGCGGUACCUGCAGAAAAAGCACCGGCUAACUACGUGCCAGCCGCCGCAGUAA
rnacentral:rRNA from 1 species